UGUCGUGUCGAUAGCAUAGAGGGCACACCUGUUCCCAUACCGAACACAGAAGUUAAGCUCUAUAGCGCCGAAAGUAGUUGGAGGAUCGCUUCCUGCGAGGAUAGGACGAUGCGGUGC
rnacentral:rRNA from 1 species